UACGGAGGGUGCAAGCGUUGUUCGGAAUUACUGGGCGUAAAGCGCGUGUAGGCGGUUGUCAAAGUCGGGUGUGAAAGCCUUGAGCUUAACUCAAGAAAUGCACUCGAUACUUGGUGACUAGAGGACCGGAGAGGAUAGUGGAAUUCCCAGUGUAGUGGUGAAAUACGUAGAGAUUGGGAAGAACACCAGUGGCGAAGGCGGCUAUCUGGACGGUUUCUGACGCUAAGACGCGAAAGCGUGGGGAGCAAACAGG
rnacentral:rRNA from 1 species